rnacentral:rRNA from 1 species
UUUAUGGAGAGUUUGAUCCUGGCUCAGGAUGAACGCUGGCGGCGUGCCUAAUACAUGCAAGUCGAGCGAACGGACGAGAAGCUUGCUUCUCUGAUGUUAGCGGCGGACGGGUGAGUAACACGUGGAUAACCUACCUAUAAGACUGGGAUAACUUCGGGAAACCGGAGCUAAUACCGGAUAAUAUUUUGAACCGCAUGGUUCAAAAGUGAAAGACGGUCUUGCUGUCACUUAUAGAUGGAUCCGCGCUGCAUUAGCUAGUUGGUAAGGUAACGGCUUACCAAGGCAACGAUGCAUAGCCGACCUGAGAGGGUGAUCGGCCACACUGGAACUGAGACACGGUCCAGACUCCUACGGGAGGCAGCAGUAGGGAAUCUUCCGCAAUGGGCGAAAGCCUGACGGAGCAACGCCGCGUGAGUGAUGAAGGUCUUCGGAUCGUAAAACUCUGUUAUUAGGGAAGAACAUAUGUGUAAGUAACUGUGCACAUCUUGACGGUACCUAAUCAGAAAGCCACGGCUAACUACGUGCCAGCAGCCGCGGUAAUACGUAGGUGGCAAGCGUUAUCCGGAAUUAUUGGGCGUAAAGCGCGCGUAGGCGGUUUUUUAAGUCUGAUGUGAAAGCCCACGGCUCAACCGUGGAGGGUCAUUGGAAACUGGAAAACUUGAGUGCAGAAGAGGAAAGUGGAAUUCCAUGUGUAGCGGUGAAAUGCGCAGAGAUAUGGAGGAACACCAGUGGCGAAGGCGACUUUCUGGUCUGUAACUGACGCUGAUGUGCGAAAGCGUGGGGAUCAAACAGGAUU